ensembl:lncRNA
CAAAACAAAUGUAGGUGAGGUCAGUGCAAAGGAGAGCUUCACGUUCAGCCUUCAUUGCCUGCAUUUAAAGACAAACAGCUGUCCUGAGUUUCAGCUGGAGGAGGAAGACACCAUCAAACAUGAAUGUUGUGGAUUUUCACAGGUUUGGUGUUUCCCUGCAACAAUCUGCUCGCACAGCCUUCCUCCCAUUGCGCACACCCGGCUCUGCGCGGCUCCGUGGUGGACCUGCAACUUUGCUGGCGAUGUUUGUUUUCAAAAGACAAAUAUUGUGCCAGCGUUCGCUUCAAUUAGGAGACUUAUUUGACAAUCUGACUACUCCAUCUGAUGCCUCAAGGGCAAAUUUCAGCACUUUAUGAAAGAUGCCGGCCAAAGACUGAUCUAUAUGAAUAAAAUAUUGAGGGGAGAAGUUGUAAUGAACAUUUGAAAACACAACUAUCAAGCAUUCAUUGCAAAUAUUUACACGCAAUAAAGGAUCUGUUUUAUCCCCAUGAAGGCUAUCACAUUUGGACAGAAAGCUGCUAUACUCCAUUCCAACUCACUCUGCGAUGCCUCCAUGUCAAGAGUGGGGCACAGUUGGUGACAAGGAACUUCAGUGCAUGGCUCCAUAGGGCCAAUCCUACAACCAGUGACUCAAUCAGGGGGUCUUCAUGGCACCACAUCCUCAUGGGUUGCUUUGGGGCUCAGUCAUUCUUUUCUACAUUAAUCACCAGAUCAGCUUAUUUAGUGAUGGUGAUGGCUGCCCCAUAAGGCUUCCCAGUGCUGCUGGAACCAGGGCUCUUCGCUCCCACAAUUCAUCCACAUGCAGGAGCAUAGCAUCACCCACCAUCUAGAUGCAUGCAGAUAAAACAGAGACAAAGGUGACUUUGUAGCACUACUCUGGGUGAAAUUCCAUUUUUUUUUUCCACUGUCUGGCUGUGUCUGAUGUGCCUCUGCUGAAAAGGUUUCUAUUUUGAUGAAGACACAAAGGCUUGAACGCUUUUCUGAACCAAUUUGGUGGCAACUGUGUGCUGGGAAUUAUUCUCACGAGGCUUCAAACCUGUGCAAAUGUUUUGAAGGAGACAUAACCUCGCUUUAAUUAUCAUCUCAACACUUUGUAGCAAAGAUGUGAUCUCCUAUAGCUCCUUUAGGGUCAUGCAGAUACUCUGGGCCCGAUCGUUGGAUGGUGGGAACUCGUGCGCUGGCUCUGAGGCCACCUCUAUUUGCAUCUGACUCCACUCACCCAUUCUCAUUUCACAGCCAAACACACAAGCAUUUUUUUUCUAUAGACUUUAAUUCAAAGGUCUGUCAAACUAAAGCAGCUGGGAAUGCUCUGUUGGAAUGACUUUCCGGUGGAAUAUCUGCCUUUUAUAAAAUUGGGAUUUCUUUUAUGGGAAAAUUUCAAUUUUGCCAGAAAUUUUUGAUUUUUCUAUUAGGAAAAUCAAACGGAUGGCUCCACGGCUGCUUGGCUGGAAGGCCCCUGUCGAUUUUGUUGUCGUCUGCAGGGAGAGAGCAAAAUUGACAAUAGUCUUCCAGGCAGGCAGCUGGGGAGAUGCAGCAGGUCUGGAAGAGGGAGGAGGGGAGGUUGAGUGCCCUGGCGCUCUGCCGGCCCUGCAGCCCAGCUGCCUCCCCAGCAGCCAGGCUAGGGGGAAGGCAAGGAGGAGGAGGAGGGAGCGGCAGGCGUGGGGUGUCCUGCCUGCAGCAGCCUGCCGACUGGGCUCCUGCCGCUCACCCCUUUCGGCAGGCAGCUGGCAAGCCCCAAGAAAUUCCAGUUUGCUUCCCUUAAAAGAGGCUUGGGGUUUUGUUUUAUUUUACGGAGAGUUCUUCUCAGAGGAAAAAGGAAAAAAAAAAAAAAGAGUAAAAAAAGAAAAAACAAUAUUUUGUUUUUCCUCAAUUUAUAGGGGAAGGAGGGAGGGAUUUUGAAAAUGAGUAUUUUUUCACAGGAAGGAAUUUCUGUGAUUCAGCCAGCUCUACCUUAUGCCUACUAUACUAGAAAUAUACAUAUACAUGUAUGUAUUAUUUUUUUCCACAGUCCAUACAUUGUUAAAAGUACAGCACGGGAAAUCAAUGCACCUGUAUGGAGAAGGCCAGCAGAAGAGCACCACUGGCCAAACUGCCCUGCCAAGCCCUUGUGCUGCCUUUACCAUCAACAUUCUAUAAAGAGUCCCGGCAUCUCUGUGCCUUUGCCCAUCACUGAGCAAUAACCAAAAAGGAAGCAUAACAGGAUAGAUAAGCUUUAGUCUGAUGCCAUUUGGAGUGUCUGCCAGAUAAAUCCUAGAAUUCAAGGAUUUUAUGGUGUUGGUCAUAGACCUUUAAGUACAACACAGUGAAUGUGCCUUGCUAUAACAUAGAUCAUAAACUGGCAGCUGAGCCCAUUUCAGGCUGUUUUGCAGGCUGCAAAGCCUCUUCCAUUGUGUGUUUGUAUGUAUUUCUCACCCUUCCUGAGGGUGUUCAAGUCAUCCCCUACUUAAUCCACCCUGUCUACCAGCAGUAGAGACUGUAGCUACAACGACGGGAGGAAAACAUAUAGUCACUUCCUGACUCUAUAAAAAGUGUUUAGCCCCAGUAAUGAGUUCUGGAAGGCUUCCUUUGAGAUUUCACACGCAGAAGCACACACAAAAGCACUCCUGCUGUUGCAGGACUCAUUAUUCUUCAGAUCCUAUGCAGAUUUUUGUAAAAGAAAAAGACUAAGAGUUAUGAAAUCUUUGAAUCAUUACGUCCAGAAAAUCAGGUAGAAGAUAUAUUUCAACAAGAACCCUUACAGAAAAAAAAAAAAAAAAAAAAAAAAGAAGUUGUUAAAUUGUAUUUGUCUGCAUUCCAAUAAUCCAUCCAUGAUUAUGUUAUAGAUGUGACACCAGUAUUGAUGGAACACCAAAAUGUAGAGGUAUCGGUGCAGAACAACAUCAGCAGAGUAAAAGAGUAAAUAUGACUUCUUUAAUAGUAGUCUCUCUUAUUAUUUUAUAGUGUAGGCUUUUCGGAUAAUUUAUUAAUACUAACAAAGAUGAGUGAUUUGGAGGCUGGAUAUUUUUUAUUUCUUAGGAGUUAUUUUAUUUGAUAAUGUCAUUAAAUAUUAGAAACUAUAACAGCUGGUGUGUUUAUCCUUACUUGAGUGUAUUAACCUCUUUAGCCCUUUUUUCCAGAAGAAGGAUUCAGCAUUACAGAUUUGACUGUCAGCUGCAGUGCCUGGCGGCCCGUUGGAUUGGCAUCCUGACAGAAUCGAAAGUCCAGUGCUGCAAGUAAACAUGGAUGACAUUGCAGAUAGAUAGAACUGGCUGACUUGAGGCACCUGCAGCUGUUUGCACCAGAAUAAAAGCAAAGGUUGUGGUUGCCGGAGUGGAAAAACACUGAAUUUACCUCUAGUUAUUUUGCUUGGGAAUUUUGCAGCCCCCCCCCUCCCUCCUCACCUUUUUUUCCUGGUUAUACAUUUUGGAACCUUUCCACUAAAAGCACAUUAGGCUGAAAUACCUCAGUGAAAAAAUCCACCAGACACCAGAGGGCUUUGCAGCCCACAUUGCCCCCUUUUCUCCUUUACAUUCAUUCAGCAGUUUCCCCACUACUCCCUGGUAACAACCAGCCCUCCACCGGUGCGAACACUGAGUUGCAGCAAAGGAUGCAAACCCUAAAUAGCCGCAAACAAUUCUUAGCAGCUGAUUUUUUCAAUCUUGAAUAGCCAGAUACACUUCUCAGCAGCUGAUUUUUUUUUAACUUGGCAUUCACAGACUGCUACAAGUGAC